rnacentral:misc_RNA from 1 species
UACGAGGGGUCCUAGCGUUGUUCGGAAUCAUUGGGCGUAAAGCGGGUGUAGGCGGCUUCGUAAGUCAGAAGUGAAAGCCCUGGGCUCAACCUAGGAAGUGCUUUUGAUACUGCGGAGCUUGAGUGUGGGAGAGGAUAGUAGAAUUCCUAGUGUAGUGGUGAAAUACGUAGAUAUCAGGAGGAAUACCGGUGGCGAAGGCGGCUAUUUGGCCCAACACUGACGCUCAGACCCGAAAGCGUGGGGAGCAAACAGG